AUAAAUUGGAGAUAAAUGGUGUUAAUAGUCCAAUAAGAUAAAUGCUUGUCUUUUAAAGCUGAAUUCCAGAAGAAAUUGCAACAUAGGAACUGACACAUUUUUCUUCUAUGCCAGAAGAACACACUAUCUGGUAUAUGAUUGAAGACUGGUGUAUGAUAGCCUGAACAAUAUUGAGAUGACACUAUUUAAUUCCUAAAGCCUGGGACUGCCAGAACAAAAAUAAUCUACAUCCAGCAGGCAGCCUCUCAGAACUGGCUGGUUCUACCAGAGAUCACGAAAUUCAAGUCACUCCCCUCAGGCAAUGCUCCUUGAUACACAGGAUCAUGACUUGCUCCCUUCCAAUGGCGACAGGUCCCAACAGGUCACCAAGCAGCCAAGGGAGCUGGUCUAAGCCUGAGGCUGCUGGCAGUCAUCUUGUGGAAUCCAAAUGGAAUCAAUGGGAACAUCAGAGUUCUUCCCAAGGGCUUCCCAGGUGGCACUAGUGGGAAAGAACUCGCCUGCCAAUGCAGGAGACACAAGAGAAGCGAGAAACAUGGGUAGAUCUCUGAGUCGGGAAGAUCCCCUGGAGGAGGGCAUGGCAACCCACUCCAGUAUUCUUGCCUGGAGGAUCCCAUGGACAGAGGAGCCUGCUGGACUACAGUCCAUGGGGUUGCAAAGAAUAGGCCACGACUGAAGCGACUUAGCACGCAGUGUGAGGAGAUGUGCGAGGAGGGAACUUCUGGAUAAUAGUAGAUGUGGGAGAAGAAGAGGGAUGAGUCUGGUUGGUGAGAGGAAAGGUCUCAGGAGGUGAAUGGCAAGCCUGAACAUGGGCACACGGAUACCAGCCUAUCCAUGCACUGACAGAAGGGGGACCCGAGGCCGGUUUCUCCGUCCUCCCCACCACCAUACUAUGCUGAGUACCAGCAGAGGGAGAAGAGACUUCAGGGUCCCCAGGCUGAUGCACAAGAUCUGAGAUGAUAGACAAGGCAAAUCGAGCCUGAGACAGCCUCACAGAGUACCCUCAGACCCACAGACAGAAAUAUUCCACAUCCUUGGAUGAUAACAAGGAACCAGGGCCAGUAGCCGAAGGAGAGUUAGAUGUGAUGGGACCUUGCGGAUGGCAGUCUUGAAUAACUUAGCAGCAGCCCUGAGGUCCAGGCCAAUGAUCAGACAAGAUGAGGAAUGUGGACUCAGGCACCAGCGUGCUCGCAGAAGGCUGAUGACUGAAGACCGGACCAUGGGGAAGCACCAAUAGAUGCCACGACAGAGCACAGGGACCAAGGCAGGACCAUACAGGCACUCAUGCCUCGGUCCUCUGCUGCCUCCCAGAAUGUGGCAUAGCUCCAAAGUGGGAAUCAGAUGUUAUGUUGCUGCCACUGUGCAGAAAUGAUUUCAUCCAGAAGCUGAGCAUGGCUGAUGGUUGUUUAUAGCUAUGUAUCUUACAUACCAGAGUUUGAAGGAUGAGAUUCCUAGGCCACUUAAAGUGGCUUGUAUUAAAAAAAGAAAAAGAAAGCUAUCAUCUGAUAUGAGAUCCAGCUGUGGUACAAACUAACCAUGUGUCUUUGAUAAACUGUGACCCCACUGGGUCCUGGCUUUCUGAUGGGUUAGGAAGGAAUAGUCCAGAUGGCAAAGAAGUUUCUUCUCUGUGGGCCACAUUGGCUACAUCAGUAGCUGUUAACUAGUGCCCUGAGUUA
rnacentral:lncRNA from 1 species